ACACAUGCAAGUCGAACGGAGCCAACCGACGGAGAUCUUCGGAUCAAAGACGGGGAAGCUUAGUGGCGGACGGGUGAGUAACGCGUGAGUAACCUGCCGUGGAGAGUGGGAUAACACAUCGAAAGGUGUGCUAAUACCGCAUAUGACAGCAGUAUCACAUGAUACAGCUGUGAAAGAUUUAUCGCUCCAUGAUGGACUCGCGUCUGAUUAGCUGGUUGGUAGGGUAGAGGCCUACCAAGGCGACGAUCAGUAGCCGGACUGAGAGGUUGAUCGGCCACAUUGGGACUGAGACACGGCCCAGACUCCUACGGGAGGCAGCAGUGGGGAAUAUUGCGCAAUGGGGGCAACCCUGACGCAGCAACGCCGCGUGAAGGAAGAAGGUCUUCGGAUUGUAAACUUUUGUCUUUGGUGAAGAUAGUGACGGUAGCCAAGGAGGAAGCCACGGCUAACUACGUGCCAGCA
rnacentral:rRNA from 1 species